UAUAUAUAUAUAUAUAAAGAUUUACGCAAGUAUGUAUAUGUAUAGCUACUUUGCUUAGUUACGGAAAUUCAUGGAAGUACUUGACUCAUUCAUAACACGAAAUUAUUCAAACAUGAACAUUUUCCAAAUCAUGAUUGGGAAAACAAUAACAUUCAAUAUAAAAAUAUUGUAAUAUUUAUAAUAUAUUAUGUUAACAAAAAUGUCAUAUAGUUGUAUAACUUUUGCGUACGAUGUACGCAACAGUUUUUCUAUAAGCUUGGAAUUGGAAAUGAAAAAACGAAGUCGCUGUUGAACAGAUUGUGCCAAUAAAGCAGUUGGUUUUUUCCAAUUUUCUCGAAUAAAUAAUAUAACUGCGUAGUAAUUUCGCUUCAUCGAAACAGACAUCGGAUCACAUUAUAAUCACGUGGUCGAUAGAUAGCGUAUGACUAUGUAUUAAUUUGUCUACGUGUAUAUGUACAGAUUUCGUGUAUUCGCGUGUAUGUGAUCAAAUACAGAUCUAUAUAUGUGUGUAUUCGCAUACUGCCUUCAUGUGACGUCAGCUGAUUCAUCAAAACAGCGUUUGCCUUUUCUACAUUAUAUCAGUUCCAUCGCGAUAAGAAUUCCACACAAAAAGAAAGCUCGGUACUUGGAAAUACCGGUUCAAGGUCAUUUGAAAAAAAAAUAUGUUAUAUGUGUGGUGCGUGCGCGCGCGCGCGUGUGUACACACACACGAGCAAACAAAAGGUGAGAUCAAUCCUUGACUUUGUGUCCAUUUGGUCCUUUUCUUUCUUGGAAAUCCUACUAAUUAUGUUAGCGUUCCAUAAAAUACAAUAGUUAUUUAUCAUAAUGUUCAAAUCAAGCGGAGCUGACGUAAGGCUUCAAUAGCUGAAUAACUGGAAAUGGGUAUAAUUUUCAGAAGCAUAAUGUUGUCUGGCCAAUCAUAUCAGAGAUGAAUUUCCCUAUGACUAAUCUCAUCCUCUUUUGUUUUAUGCGUUAGUAUUCACCAUUUUGAAAAUUUGUUAAAUUCAUGGAAUGUACAAUUUGAGGAUCUACGCAAACUUUGAAUAAUUACAAUAACAAUAUGGAAACACAUUUAUCGGAUGUAUAAAAUGCGAUCGGAUGUAAUACGAGAAUCGGAAGUAACGUAAGAUGGUAUCGUUUAAUUGCUAGACAAGAAAAAUCAGUUUUUUGAUUUGUUUAUAAUAAGAAAGAAAACACGCAACUACGUCUUCUAAACUGUACAUGGAUAGCGAUCACGUGGUGAAUUAUCAAAGACUUGUAAGAGAGGUAAGGUGGAGGGGAGAGACCUGAACGUAUAUAAUCUUCAGCGCACAUUCCACCACCCAGUUCUGCUUCGACUUCGGACGUGAGAAUUGUGUCAAGCUUCCGAGCAGGGAAAGUUUUUGUUUGUUUGGUGCGCUCAUUGUAUGGAGCGAGAGAAGAUUAUAAAACACGGAGAGAGCCCUGUAGAGCCAAUAAGCAGCUGCAGGGAUGAGCAUGGCUUUGUGCCAACAGUGGGCCGUUGGGGAAGUGAAUGGCC